AUGUCUCCGUAUUUCACGGGUAUUUUCCAAAACACGCUUUUCAGUUUUCACAUAGCAAACACCAAUUCCAUUCAACUCCUCUUUCUUCUUCCUUUCAUUCUAGGAACUUUCAAAUUGUUGACAGGAGAAAUUGGGUUGUUGCUGAGGCUGCUUUUGAUCUCUGUAGCAUCGUGUCGGUAUUGUGUUUCUGGUAUCCUGCUUCAUAGCUUUUGA